rnacentral:rRNA from 1 species
ACCUUACCUACUCUUGACAUCCAGAGAACUUUCCAGAGAUGGAUUGGUGCCUUCGGGAACUCUGAGACAGGUGCUGCAUGGCUGUCGUCAGCUCGUGUUGUGAAAUGUUGGGUUAAGUCCCGCAACGAGCGCAACCCUUAUCCUUUGUUGCCAGCGGUUCGGCCGGGAACUCAAAGGAGACUGCCAGUGAUAAACUGGAGGAAGGUGGGGAUGACGUCAAGUCAUCAUGGCCCUUACGAGUAGGGCUACACACGUGCUACAAUGGCAUAUACAAAGAGAAGCGACCUCGCGAGAGCAAGCGGACCUCAUAAAGUUUGUCGUAGUCCGGAUUGGAGUCUGCAACUCGACUCCAUGAAGUCGGAAUCGCUAGUAAUCGUAGAUCAGAA